GCUUACGCCAUACCACCUUAGGCACGCCCGAUCUCGUCUGAUCUCGGAAGCUAAGCAGGGUCGGGCCUGGUUAGUACUUGGAUGGGUGACCGCCUGGGAAUACCAGGUGCUGUAAGCA
ensembl:rRNA 5S_rRNA 5S ribosomal RNA